CUAUAAGCCGCGCGGCCGCGGCUCCUUCCGGCGAGGAACCUCGCACCGCCUCGCACAGGAAGAGGAAAAAGGCAGCGCCUUUGCCGCCGUGUCGUGACUGAGUAACCGGCGAGCAGAACCGCUGAGGUCUGUGCUUGCGCCCCUCCGACGCCGGUGAAAGUUCUGCCGUCGCGUCCUCGAUUCACUGAGCAGGGCAGUCAGCCUCAUUUCCUAAAGCUAAGUUCGAUUCCCAAUUGUUGGGUAAAAGAAAUUCUUGUGGUAUCUAAUACUCUAUGAAUCUCAUAAAUGUUAUUGUUAUCUUGAGUACUUGGUUUAGAAGCUAAAAUGUUGAAACGUACUUAUCUCGCAUAAAAAUUCUAGUCUGAUGUACUGCUAUUUAUGCCUUUGUCUUGUGAAUAAAAACUGAUUGAGCUAUUCUAUAUCUGAAUUUUUGAUUGAUCUAAGCAUGCUAUGUUGGGGUGUGAAAUAUGCAAACAUAUAGACUAACUUGAGAUGGUAAUACCUUGAUUGUUUUAUCCUUUUGGCUGUCUGUUGCUCUGUUUGAAUUUAAUGAGAAGAUAGCUGAAAAAAAAUCACAUAUCUUGUUUUUCUUUAACAAUGCAGGGAGAACUAAGAAAAGAAAAAAAAUGGAUAAGGCUAAGCCAAUCUUACCUCUUCGAAGUUUUGCAGCAGCUAGACAAUUCUCUCAAGCUAUUGAUGCGUAAAGAGAGAAGGAUUUUUGGUGGAUGAUAUAAUAAGGAGUGAAGUUGGUGGCUGUAAAGGGAGGAAAGCAUGGCUUUUGGUGGUUGAAGAGGUGGGGAUCAAAGGAUGGUGUCAGCACACUUAUUUCUUUCCACUAACCUUAAUGAUUUUCCUUUAUUGCUUUAAUGAUUUUCCUUUAUUGAUUCCUUGUCGGCUGAUGGUAUUAAACAAGGAAUGGUGUUGCAUUUGAUGUGUAGUAAUGUGGGAUAUGGCUGAAGUAAAGCUCUUGCCUCUUGGGAAUUAUAACUUGUAGUACAGUAAUGCACUUAAUGAAAUACUAAUCUUGAAUUCUUACUAA